AAAAAGGUAAGCUAAGAAAGCUAACGGGUUCAUACCCCGCCUAUAAAGAUCUAUCUUUCCUUUUUA
rnacentral:tRNA from 1 species